rnacentral:miRNA from 1 species
CUGAGCUGUCUCCCCGCCCAAGAUUAAUCUUCUAGGGCUGGGGAGGUGGCUCAG